UACGGAGGGUGCAAGCGUUAAUCGGAAUUACUGGGCGUAAAGCGUGCGCAGGCGGUUUGUUAAGUCCGUUGUGAAAGCCCCGAGCUCAACUUGGGAAUUGCAGUGGAUACUGGCAGGCUGGAGUGCGGUAGAGGAAGGUGGAAUUCCCGGUGUAGCAGUGAAAUGCGUAGAUAUCGGGAGGAACACCAGUGGCGAAGGCGGCCUUCUGGACCAGUACUGACGCUCAUGCACGAAAGCGUGGGGAGCAAACAAG
rnacentral:rRNA from 1 species